AACACACAAAGAAUGAAAUGUUGCUUUUUUUUUUUUAACACACCAUGUAAACAUUCACAGUGCAGGUGGAAAAAGUAUGUGAACCCUUGCAUUUAAUAACUGGUUGAACCUCGUUGGCAGCAAUAACUUCAACCAAACGUUUCCUGUAGUUGCAGAUCAGACGUGCACAACGGUCAGGAGUAAUUCUUGACCAUUCCUCUUUACAGAACUGUUUCAGUUCAGCAAUAUUCUUGGGAUGUCUGGUGUGAAUCGCUUUUUUGAGGUCAUUUUUUGAGGUCCUGUUGCAACACCCAUCUUCUGUUGAGCUUCAGCUGGUAGACAGAUGGCCUUAAGUUCUCCUGCAAAAUGUCUUGAUAAACUUGGGAAUUAAUUUUUCCUUCGAUGAUAGCAAUCCGUCCAGGCCCU